rnacentral:rRNA from 1 species
UCCUACGGGAGGCAGCAGUGAGGAAUAUUGGUCAAUGGGCGAGAGCCUGAACCAGCCAAGUCGCGUGAAGGAUGACGGCCCUACGGGUUGUAAACUUCUUUUGUCAGGGAGCAAUUGAGUCCACGUGUGGGCUUAGCGAGAGUACCUGAAGAAAAAGCAUCGGCUAACUCCGUGCCAGCAGCCGCGGUAAUACGGAGGAUGCGAGCGUUAUCCGGAUUUAUUGGGUUUAAAGGGUGCGUAGGCGGAAUGCCAAGUCAGCGGUAAAAUCGCGGGGCUCAACCUCGCUCCGCCGUUGAAACUGGCGU